UUCAUAAAACCGUGUCUUCUUAUGUAUUUGUAUGUAUAUUUACUGUUCCAUUGCUAUUUUCCCUACCAAUGUGCAAAUAUGCAUGUCGACAAGAAUACAAUACCAUUCUUUGAUGUAAAGAUGGCCUCUAAAGUCCAUUAAAAGAAGGUAGCAUCGCAUGCAGCCAUUUCGCGUGUUUGUUUGAUUAAUUUCGGGCUUCUUUUUUAGCAUUCCUUUCAUACUUGCCGGUGGAGGAACACGAAGGAAAAUAUUAAGAAAUUAACAAGCCAUGAAGGAUAUCAUGAAGUUAUAUGUUCAAAUGGGAGGAUCAGCAGCUGGUUUCUCUUAUCAUCAUCAUCAUCUAGAAUGUAGAUAAGUAACUUUUUAUGUUUUCUAUUUCCAUGACUUUUAGAAAGAAUAACUAUUAACUCUUUAAGUGAUGCAAACUAAACCCCUUCAUUUUUUUUCUCUUUCUUUGAUAGGAAUUAAAUAUCAUCAAACAACACUUCUUGAUUACCCAGAUGAGAAAGUGGCUCGACAAUAACGUAUUUAAUCCAAAAAGUUACUGGAAAUUGGAAAGAAAAAACAAACAAGUGAAAAAGAAACGCCGAUCAUAACCAGAAGCUAGCAAGCUUUGCCGAUCUCUCCAUCUAGCUGUUGAGGUAAAACGUUCAAGCUAAACUUACUUAUACUAGUCUCUUGCGUCACUAGAAUCGAAGUCCCUUCUAUUUGAAGGAUGAGCAAAACGAGAAUAAGGACUUCCAAACUGCAUUGGAUCGCUCAUUACAAGCUCUUCCUGUGGCUGUUGUUGAGAAGAUACGGAUGAUGAUGAUGAAGAUGAGUCUCUACCGUAAGUACCCGGAGCCAUAGCAUAGUUUAAGCCAUAACUCGAACCUCCUAAAAGAUACUCUGGGUAUUGGAAGUAACCUUGUUGGUAUUGUUGUUGUAGUAAUUGUGGAGGGCGAGGAGGAGGAGGAGGAGCAGCAGCAACUCGGUUAGAAACCUGUUCGCGAUUAGUCAAGUAACCUAAUUCACUUCUGCCUUGAACUCUUUCCGGGAAGUUAAGUUUAGCUUUGCUUCCUUUAAACCUAAGAGCUGCUUCGUCAUAGGCAAGUGCUGCUGCUUCAGCUGUAUCAAAAGUACCAAGCCAUACCCUAGCUGCCUUGUUUGGGUCCCUGAUCUCAGCUGCCCACUUUCCCCAUGGUCUUUGCCUCACUCCUCUAUAGUGUCUUCUCCUAACAUUCCCUACACAAGCAUUAAACAAGUAUGUGCUAGCUUCUUAGAGUUAGUAUGCAUGAUAUUCACUACAAACCGCACUUGGUAAUAACUUAGAUACUGAGAUUAGGGCCAAAAAAUAUUCUAAUAAGUAAAUUGAAUUUUAAUUAUAAAAAAGACAAGAUCCAAGUAGAAGAAAAGAGUUGAGGUUAAUUAGGUAUAAUUCAUGGAAAAGUGAGAAUUAAGCACAUCAAUCAAAUAUCACUCGCAUCAUAUCCCCAAGUCUUUAUUAGAUAUUAAGAGAAGAAAGAGCAAGUAAUUAAAACCAAUAGAUAUGAAAUAAAAACUGAAGGUAUAAAAAAAACAUAACAGCAACUCAAAUAUAUAGUUUGAGACCAUUCAUGCAAAUGUAAAAUGUUAGAUAAGAAAAUAAUAAAUUGUUUCUGAGUAUGAGCAUAUAUGUGAUGAAUCACCUUGAUCUUGAAUCGGUUGUGGUUGAUCAUUGUGUUGUGCGUUUGAUUGUGCUAAUGAUACUGGGUUUGCAUGCACUUGAACUGGAUUACUUUGGCUACUCCCGAUGACUUGAGCUAGGGCUGAAAUCAUUGCAUCCAUAUCUUGUUGAGAUCGAGCUGAGUAGACAGGAAAGACAUGAUCUUCCUCUUUCUCUUCCGAUUCAUUGAAUGAAAGGGGCCUCUUCCCAUGAUUUCGAUCC
rnacentral:lncRNA from 1 species